AAAAUGUUUUUAAACCCACUAAUGAGAGUGUAUAUUCAAGGCAACUUGAAUCUAUGCUCCCAGGAAAUAUUUUAAAUAAGUGAAAAAAAAAAAACACGAAUAGCAAUAACCCAGCUUGGGACAACAAAUGAUCAAUCCUCAUGUCCCCAAGUUCCACAGUCACUCUUCCUUUUUUCUGAGAGUCUUGUUCUGUCACCCAAGCUUGCUGCAACCUCUGCUUUACAAGGCUCAAGUGAUCCUCCCACCUCAGCCUAACAAGCUGGGACUACAGGUGUGCACCACCAUAGCUGGCUAAUUUAUUUUAUUUUAUUUUGUAGAAACGGGUUCUCGCUAUGUUGCCCAGGCUGGCCACUCUUCCCUUUAAUGCCCAAAUAACAACCCCUGAGCACUCACCCUGCAGAAUGUCCCCUCCCAUAAAAUAGUGGCUCCCAUCUAUCAAUCAAAUGCUCGUGAUGGGAGUGCUGGGCACCAAGUGCUUCCCUUACUUUAUUUCAUUUGAUCCUCAUUAUGAGGGAGAUGUGAUAAUUUCACACACAAGAAAAUUGAGGAUUGGAAAUUAAAUGACUUGCCCGAGGACCCAGCUAAGAGGCAGAGCAGGACUCAAAUUGAGAUCUCUAUGUUUCUGAAACUCACACUUCACCAGUGUGCUGUCCAGCCUCUCUGCUUCUGAAAAUGCCCAAGACCUAGUCACACGUGCCACAGAUCUGUCUGGUGACCACCCUUCCCCUCAGCCAGCCAGGUGAUCAUAAAGGUCCCAUAACAUUGGGGUCUGGUGUCAAUUGGAGGACACAGUAGGAAAGUUCUAUUUCCCAGCUGGCAAGCUGUAAAAAACAAGAUGGGGAAUUUGGGGAGUUUCCUGCAGACAUUCUCAGAAGGUAGAGCAUUCCCAUCCCCUGUGCUGCAUACACAGCGCACUAAUGACGUGUUGAGGUCUUAGAGGAGAUUCCUCUUCCCAUAGGGGACAGUUUAGAUGAUCUCACAUGUCCCCUUUGGGUCAGAGACUCAGAUUCUCAAUUGUUGAUGCAGACAUCAAAAUCCCUGAGCAUUUUUUGCAUUUUACCCACUUAUGUAUCAUGUUUUCCAUGAUUAUUUCAGAGACAGGCCCCCACAGAGAAAAGACUGGUUUCCUACAUAUGUUAAAUAAUUCAACCAGUUAGCACCUUGGUUAACACAUGGAUUUAAUUCACUCACUCACCCCGUAAUGAAAGGCCACAAAGAACACGCCGACCCAUGAUUGGUCAUUUGUUCAUUGGCCGUGGUAGGCACAAGGUCUUGAGUUCCUUCUUUAACCAGGCAGAGUAUACACAUCAUCCCUAAUAUGAAAAGCAAUCUAAUGAGGGAG
rnacentral:lncRNA from 10 species